rnacentral:lncRNA from 1 species
AAUAUACAUGUUGGACUUGGAAUUGACUUAGGAGAAAACCGGCGAUUCUACACUGUCAUAUGUUAAAACUAUCAGAUUUAGCUCUAGGAGCCGUAGUUUGUUUAUAUCGCCGCAGUUUGUAGGCAGUGGAUAUCCAGGAUAGUGCAGAAUGUUUUUAUGCUCAUGUUGAGAUGUCGAGCUUUUUUUUACAGCAGUGUUUGAGUUAUUCCGGACUGUCGGGUGCCGUCGGGGUUGACGGUGGACCCAGAUUACUGUUUUUGCAUCAGAUUGUGCCGAGGGCACGUGAG